rnacentral:rRNA from 1 species
UACGUAGGGUGCAAGCGUUGUCCGGAAUUAUUGGGCGUAAAGAGCUCGUAGGCGGUUUGUCGCGUCUGCUGUGAAAACUCGGGGCUUAACUCCGGGCCUGCAGUGGGUACGGGCAGACUAGAGUGCGGUAGGGGAGACUGGAAUUCCUGGUGUAGCGGUGAAAUGCGCAGAUAUCAGGAGGAACACCGGUGGCGAAGGCGGGUCUCUGGGCCGUAACUGACGCUGGAGGAGCGAAAGCGUGGGGAGCGAACAGG